rnacentral:rRNA from 1 species
CCUACGGGAGGCAGCAGUGGGGAAUAUUGCGCAAUGGGCGAAAGCCUGACGCAGCAACGCCGCGUGGGGGAUGAAGGCCUUCGGGUUGUAAACCUCUUUCAGCAGGGAAGAAGCGAAAGUGACGGUACCUGCAGAAGAAGCACCGGCUAACUACGUGCCAGCAGCCGCGGUAAUACGUAGGGUGCAAGCGUUGUCCGGAUUUAUUGGGCGUAAAGAGCUCGUAGGCGGUUAGUCACGUCGGAUGUGAAAUCCCGGAGCUUAACUCCGGGCCUGCAUUCGAUACGGGCUGACUCGAGUGUUGUAGGGGAGACUGGAACUCCUGGUGUAGCGGUGAAAUGCGCAGAUAUCAGGAAGAACACCGGUGGCGAAGGCGGGUCUCUGGGCAACUACUGACGCUGAGGAGCGAAAGCGUGGGGAGCAAACAGGAUUAGAUACCCUGGUAGUCCACGCCGUAAACGGUGGGCGCUAGGUGUGGGGAACAUUCCACGUUCUCUGCGCCGCAGCUACGACAUAGCGCCCGCCGCGGGAGGUACGGCCGCGACGACGUAAACGUAACGUAAGUAGUACGGCGNGAGACGACGCGACGACGACGACGAGGAGGAGGAG